GAUGCUGGGCUCUGCUGGCUCCUUUCACCUUGGGCUGAGCAGAGCCAGCCCCAAGCAGCUGCUCCUGGCAGUCCUCGUUGUCCUCCUGACAGAGACAGCAAGGGAGAUGUGGCUCUGAGAGCUCCAGCUGCUGGGAAAAGGCCCAUCACUGAGGUACUUCAGCACAACCUUCAUUUUAAAUGGCUUCCCUAGCGUUGCUGCAGUGCUUCCAGUUGUGGAAAUGCUGAAGCACCUGCCCAGACUGGAGUGGGAAAUACUGAUAAGAGAGGGAGGAGGAAUAAAAGUGCAGCUGCAGGAAUUCAAGGUGACAGAAAAACAACAUUUGGGAGGCAUUUACAUGUGUCAGCCUCGCUGUGUGCAGGUACUUUCCUCGCUUUACAGGAAGAUUUCAUCUCUGCACGUAUAGAAAAGAAGAAUUCUUUUCCCAGGUAAUAUUCAUUUUGGAGGCAUUAACAUUUAUCAACUUAUCUGAGGAUGAAAUGAAGCUUUUCUGAAGUUUAUCCCCUGAUAAUUUGGGCCCUGAGUUGACCUAAGUUUGGUUCCUGGACCUGGACAGUUGCCCUGUUCUGGGCAGGGAUGAACAAGUAACUAGAGGAGAGGAGGGGGGAGCAAGGACAGGAUCAGCAUUUAGGGUGAAAAUGCAAAAAGUCACAUUUCAACUAAAGAAAAACUGUGGAAAAGAUUAAUUUGAGAAAGUAUUUUAAACAUGCUUUGAAUGAAAAUGAAGUAGAAUGAAGUAAAUGCACAAAUGAAAUAAAAAAAAAAGUUCUAAAAUAUUUGCUGCAUAGUUAAAACCACUCAUUCUUUAACUCAGAUAAGCUGAGUUGUUGCUUAACAAACUCAAAGAGGAUGGCAGUGCCACUGCACUGUUGUUAUCUUCAAGGCCAGCUUGUUUAAGAAUAGAAAACUUGGGCUCAAUUCCUCCAUCAGCCUGAGGGCAUUUGAGUCCUGCCCAGGAACUUGCUCAAAUCAUGAUGAAGUAUCUAAUUUUAAAAAAUUUGUAUUUUUCUGUGAAACAUUACUUAUCAGCCUUUUUCUCACUGUGGAACAUGGUGCAGGGAAUCUAUAUUUUUUUUUCUGGUUCACGGAGGUUACCCUCUUCUUUUCGCAGGAGAAAUCAGCAUAUUUCAAUGUUAAACAAAACUCUUGAGUUAAUCAUUUCCCUGUGUAUUGGGCUCAUUAGGAAGCAUCAGCCUCUCCAGUGCAUUAAUUGAAUGUGAGCAGUGUUGCCUGCAGUGACGCUGCUGAAUUUAUUGCCCAAAGAGAACAUUGGGAUAACGAGACCAUUCCUUUACAAAUGGCUUCUGAAACAAAAAUCACUGCACUCAUAGCACCUAAUUUAAUUCAUCUUCUAGAUGAAGGCAGUAGUCAGUAGGAGAAUUUGAUGUUUAGCCCCAUUCUUAUGAAUAUUAAAAUCUAAUAAAAUGAUUCUUUGGUUCAUGAAUACUAUAAAUGAACAUUCAGAGCUCCAGCCCUAACAGUUACCAGAAGUUAUUUCCGUAGCUGUGUUCUUAUCAACAAAGACUCUUGCUUUCCUGCAUUUAAUUUACACAAAAUCUCUACAACAGAAUUGUGGUGGAACUCUCAUUUAAGGGAGAAAAACAUUAAUGAGUAUGGGCCAUGCCUGCCCUGAGCUGCACUUGGAGAACUCCACUGUGUGUCUGCAUGUGUGACUUGAGAAUUAACAUUUACAGCACCUGACAUUUGAAAUGGUGUAAUUAUGCUAAGAUACAUAAAUAGAAGCACAGCUUUUAGGUUCCUGUGUGAACAGAAUCCAAUUUCACUAUCAAAAUCAUGUAAAAAGCCUUUUCCUCUAAAAGACCAAAAUGAACCAACCUUUAUCUUUUCAUGCAGUCUUCAUUAAUAGGAGAAAAUUGUUAAAUAAUUAAAUCUGUCUCCCACAUUUCAGCCCUUCAGGGGCUCCCUUGUGGCACACAGAAUUCCUAAAUCUGAGACAGCCUCAGCUCCCAUGGGGGGCUGGACACUGAAGCUGGACCCAGCCUCUGCCCACACAAACAAUUUGCCAUUUCUGUAUGAGAUUUACACCUUGACAUCUAGCAAGAAUUACAGAAAAUACAAAAGCAAACAAUGUGGAGCUUGUGCAGUCUUAAUGGGUUUUUUUCAAUUAAUUCUGUUCAAAUCACCUUCAUAAAUACCAGAAAAAGAUGGGGCACUCAUGUGACCCUCAUAAAGGGCAAAUCCCUCAAGCAAGAUUUCAUUAGCUUUUUGAGACUUAAUUCUGUGUUUCCUGGAAAUGUGGAGAGAUCAAAUAUUCAUUGACCAGCAUUUUCCUCCCUUCACUUGUAAUGUACUUUGUAAAAAAAUUAAAAUCAGUUAUUUUGCUUCAAAGUGCCCUCAAAAGGCAUGAAGAUACCUGAAGCUGGAUCUGAAAUGGUUCUCGUAAGGAAAAGGAAAAGGUAGCUGAGAGAGUUUGCACUCAAAUCUAAAUGUUCACUGCAGUUUUAUGUUCUCUGUGCCUUCCUCAAAGAGCAGCUUUUAGUUCAAAAUUGCACAUUUUCCUUCAAGAGGGAUCCACUUGGUUGUGCUUGGUUGUACAAGAGUUCUACAGGUAAGUGAGAUUCUGCUGGAUCUCCACCUGUCUCCAUGUGCUGUUGUGUUUCAGGGUGUUUAGCUGAGGAUUUUUAUUUUCUGUAAUCAUUCAGGUAAGUCAUGCUUUAGGCCAAUUUCUGUUCUUUAGACUCCGUUGUUGUAGUGUGGAUGAAAAAAGGGAAUUCACUUGCUCUCUUUGCUAAUUGUAUCACAGCAAAUUGACACCAAAGGCUUUGCAAUCACUCCCUCAGUAACUCUGGAGUAGGAAUAAAGGCAGGAAAUUGUCACUGGGGUAGUGUGACUGUCACAGCACUGAACAACUGUUCCUGAGCCUCUGGAGAUGAUUGCUUCAAUCUCAAUAAAAGUAUAUGUCCUCCUCACUGUGCAGCAGUAUCUUGGAUGAUUCUGUGCUUUGUUAUGGAUUUAAUUCCACCCCCCUGAGAAAUGCUGUAUAAUAUUGUGGCUACAUAUAGAGUAAUAGGAUAUUUUGAGAGUAAAAUGUAUGUUGAUCUGCUUUAUUUAAACAAUUGAUUAUUGGAGGAGGCAGUGCCAUUUUUUGCAGUACCCUGUUUACGUGUGAGAAUUCUCUGAGAUGUGGCAAGUUGGUAAUUGGUGCCAGCAGACCUAUAACUGAGCUCUAACAUUCCUAGAAGGAUGUAAGUUUAAAUGUUGUGUCUGCCAGAAACACUUCUGCUCUUGUUACCAUGACUGAGCUGGAUGCAGCUUGUGAAGGAAAGAUGGAGAAAGGGAGAGUCUGAGUUUGGAUUUCUGACAUAACAGAGGAGUGAGAAUCAGUCCUACCUCUGUUUAAAAUGGUGUGUCCUGUUACAUUGUCAUGGCAGAGAAUGUUUGUACCCAAGUGUGGUUUCAUUGCUCAGUUCCCUCUUUCAGGCCCUGUGCAGAAUCCCCCCAAGCCUGAUGAGGGUGGGUUGCAGGGGUUGAUUUUUAAAUGCUGUUACACCUGCAGGGACUGGGACACUUCUCCUCUCCUGCUGCCGCCCAGGGCGGGCUGGAUCUUCCCCCUGGAUGGGCUGGAAGAGGGAACCCUUGUGCUGUGGGUGUAGCAGGCACAUGGGUUUGUGUUGCUGAUUGAUACAAAAAAUGGGAGGCCUGACCUGGAACAAGACUGCAGCUUAAUUCUGUGUUUGUGGAGAUGAUGGUUUUUAUGUCCAGACACCGAAGCGUUCACGUGAGGUGGGUUUUUUCCAAAAGCUGAGAAAUAAUGAAAAAUUAUUUCACUGAUCUGUUACAACAGCGCAGCAGCUGCUGAUCUGCAGUUCACUGAGAGAUUAACAAAGCUGGUCUAGUCACCUGCAGAACACAGAUAAAAAUUAGUAAGAAGUGGGAAAGUAAAUAAUGCAUGAACGUCCAAAGGUGAGAAGGUGAAAGAUGAGCAGCAACACAUUCUGGAGUAAGAAGUUAAGUUAGAAAUUCUAAUCAGUCAUUAAAAUAAAGGGUAAAGAUGGAAGAGUUGGCUCAGAGCAGAGGGUCAGUAGGACUUGAGCAGUGACUUGAAAUACUGGCAGAGGAAUGGAAUCCCUGAACUUCCCAGGUGUUUUGCUUGCAGACUCCCUUCAGAGUACAGCUGUUUGCAGGUAAAAGCUGUUCUAAAGUAGCAGCAUGGAAAUGCAGACUGUGAAUUCAGCCUUUAGAGAAAGGAGCUGUGCACAUUUAGGCCAGCAGGGAUGGAAUAGAGCACAAAUGCUCAUAGCCAGAUACAAAAGCAGGGAUUCUGCUGUUCACCUGAAGUUUUCCAGAGCAACCAGCUUCCCAGAAACCCAGAGCAGUCAGCCAAAUGAGCUCCCGCUUCAAACCAGAGCCCGGGGUGCUGCUAAAACACACCCCGGGAAAAUCAGCAUUAUUUCCAAAGGCACUGGUGGUUACUCUCUCUGGGAUGUUAAUCUGACUUGUGUUGCUUGUCCCCAGGAGUUUUGUAUCUCGGUCUCUGGUGAAUUCUCCUGCUCUGAGCCCGGCUGUGAAGCGCCUGGAGGAGGUUUCUGGGCCAAGGUCCCUGCAGUGAUGCCAGGAUGCCCAUCCCAAGCUGUGCAUCCUCAGUGGAAAAACCUGGGAUGAAAUGCACUGUGCAGGUGUUUUCCAAGGGUUCUGUCUCUGCUUGUGUUUUCUCACAAGAGCAGCCCUGGCUGGAGGAUUGGGUGGCUCAAGGGGCCAGGCAGAGCUUUCCCCUUGAUCCCAGCUGUGCUGAAGCCGUGGCUGCCUCAUCUGGGAAGAGCCGAGACUCCAGCAGGGGGUUCCCAGCGUGGGCAGGAGAGGCUGAGGAGCAGCAGGGCUGAGGAGAGGACACCUGGAGCUCUGUGCAGUGGGAAAGGGCAGCCCUGGAGCCUGGCUCCCACAGCUGAUCCCAGGUUUAGAACAUCAGAUGACUCCUAGCAGAUGUGAAAUGCUUCUAGAAGCCAAACAGUCGUUCUGUUCAUGCCCUUUGGACCACUCUCUUGAUGAAAUGGCCCCCAGGACCUGUCCCAGCUCUCCCUGGCUACUUCUGCACCAGCAAACUCCAGAGGCCCCUGAGCCCAGAGAUGUGGAGUGCAGCCAGCUCUUUGUAAGAAUAACUAAAAGAAGGCAGAUAACAAACACUGCCAGUUCCCCUCACUGUCAUCAACAGUGAAGUACUUUGCUGAAGCAAAAUGUUAAGAAGCUGAGACUGGACAUUUGAAUACUUAAAAGUUACUGAAUUUUCUGCCCAACUGGAUGUGGGAAAAGAUGCAGAAGAUAAUGCUCAUGUCUUACUUGUUCUCAAGAGCUCAAUAAGAGAUGAAAAAACUCCAGAAAUACAAAUCUAAAAUGGGUGGAGAGGUUCAGUGCCCAGCUCUGCAGUACUGCCUUGGAGGUGCCUCCUUCUGGCUUUUGUGCCUUGUUUCAUGGGGAGCCUCUCAACAGAGUGGAUUUAACGUGGGGCAAUUCUGGGAGCUUCCCUCCAGCCUGGUGCUCCAUGGAGCGGGCUGGGCUAAGGGAUUUUGGCAAACAGCAGUGAGCUUCCAGAGCAAGGAGAGAAAGGCAGCAGGUGGAAG